UGGAAACUNUCUGACUUGAGUGCAGAAGGGGAGAGUGGAAUNCCAUGUGUAGCGGUGAAAUGCGUAGAUAUAUGGAGGAACACCAGUGGCGAAAGCGGCUCUCUGGUCUGUCACUGACGCUGAGGCUCGAAAGCGUGGGUAGCGAACAGGAUUAGAUACCCUGGUAGUNCACGCCGUAAACGAUGAGUGCUAGGUGUUAGGCCCUUUCCGGGGCUUAGUGCCGGAGCUAACGCAAUAAGCACUCCGCCUGGGGAGUACGACCGCAAGGUUGAAACUCAAAGGAAUUGACGGGGGCCCGCACAAGCGGUGGAGCAUGUGGUUUAAUUCGAAGCAACGCGAAGAACCUUACCAAGUCUUGACAUCCCGAUGCUAUUCUUAGAGAUAGGAAGUUACUUCGGUACAUCGGAGACAGGUGGUGCAUGGUUGUCGUCAGCUCGUGUCGUGAGAUGUUGGGUUAAGUCCCGCAACGAGCGCAACCCUUAUUGUUAGUUGCCAUCAUUAAGUUGGGCACUCUAGCGAGACUGCCGGUAAUAAACCGGAGGAAGGUGGGGAUGACGUCAAAUCAUCAUGCCCCUUAUGACCUGGGCUACACACGUGCUACAAUGGUCGGUACAACGAGUUGCGAGCCGGUGACGGCAAGCUAAUCUCUGAAAGCCGAUCUCAGUUCGGAUUGGAGGCUGCAACUCGCCUCCAUGAAGUCGGAAUCGCUAGUAAUCGCGGAUCAGCACGCCGCGGUGAAUACGUUCCCGGGCCUUGUACACACCGCCCGUCACACCACGAGAGUUUGUAACACCCGAAGUCGGUGAGGUANCCUUUUAGGG
rnacentral:rRNA from 1 species